AUUUCUCUUUCAUUAAAAAUUUCUCAUCCAGCCAAAAACUAAAUGCGAUCCUUACAUCCUUGAACACGGUGAUGAAGUAAAAAUCGGGGAGACUGUGCUGUCUUUUCACAUUCACCCUGGCAGUGAGACUUGCGAUGGCUGUGAACCGGGGCAGGUCAGAGCUCACCUUCGCCUUGAUAAAAAAGAUGAGCCUUUGGUUGGUCCAGCAUUAAGUAAGGAAGAAAAAGAGUUGGAAAGAAGAAAGGCACUAAAGAAAAUACGAGUAAAGUAUGGUUUGC
rnacentral:lncRNA from 1 species